AUUGAACGCUGGCGGCAGGCUUAACACAUGCAAGUCGAACGCGUGGCGGACGGGUUAGUAAUGCUUGGGAAUCUAGAUUAUGGACUGGGAUAACUACGGGAAACUUUAGCUAAUACCGCGUUCCAAAGGAUGAGCCCAAGUGGGAUUAGGUAGUUGGUGAGGUAAAGGCUCACCAAGCCGACGAUCUCUCGCUGGUCUUAGAGGAUGACCAGCCACAGUGGGACUGAGACCCGGCGCAGACGCCUGCAGGAGGGAUCAGUGGGGAAUAGUGCGCAAGGGGGGCAACCCUGACGCAGCCAUGCCGCGUGAAUGAAGAAGGCCUUCGGGUUGUAAAGUACAUUCAGUCGGGAGGCGUGACCGACAGAAGAAGAACCGGCUAACUCCGUGCCAGCAGCCGCGGUAAUUC
rnacentral:rRNA from 1 species